rnacentral:lncRNA from 1 species
ACAACCAAGCAAGAUCACCAAAAUCGCCCCUAGCAAGCUCCAAAAAACGUCCAAUGAUGAGAAUAGGUGAAAAGACACCAUCAAAACUCACUUAAUGUGGCAGUUACACAAAUUCCGCAGACUCCACCGUAAUUUACGGCUCCACCGUAAAUUACGGUGGACAUAAAAGUGUUACGGUGCUGCACUACUGUUUUACGGUGGGAACCAAAUGGAUUUCAGGUCCACCGUAAAUUACGGUGGGACCGUAAUUUACGGUGGCAACCUGAGUUUUGUGUUUUGUUCAUCUUUUGCUCCGCAUCUCAACCCGUUCAACUCGAAAGCUUCCAAAGCUGUACUUUUCCUCCAUUUGAGCCGCUAAACCGUACCUGAGACAUAGACAACACAUCGCAAAGGGUUGUCCAAUGGACCACCCGUC